rnacentral:rRNA from 1 species
UCUCUCACAUCGAUCAGAGAUAGAUCCUGGCUCAGGACGAUCUCUCGCGGUGUGCUUAACACAUACAAGUCGAGCGGGGUCCAACCAGUGGCAACACUGGGGAAGACCUAGCGGCGAACGGGUGAGUAACACCUGAGAAACCUGCCCCGAAGUCUGGGAUAACCCGAGGAAACUCGAGCUAAUACCGGAUGCCUUCCACUGAUCGCAUGGUCGGUGGAUGAAAGAACUUCGCUUCGGGAGGGUCUCGCGGCCUAUCAGCUUGUUGGCGGGGUAACGGCCCACCAAGGCAUCGACGGGUAGCUGGUCUGAGAGGACGAUCAGCCACACUGGGACUGAGACACGGCCCAGACUCCUACGGGAGGCAGCAGUGGGGAAUAUUGCGCAAUGGGCGAAAGCCUGACGCAGCAACGCCGCGUGCGGGAUGAAGGCCUUCGGGUUGUAAACCGCUUUCAGUGGGGGACGAAAUUGACGGGUACCACAGAAGAAGCCCGGCCAACUACGUGCCAGCAGCCGCGGUACACGUAGGGGGCGAGCGUUGUCUGGAUUUAUUGGGCGUAAGAGCUCGUAGGCGGCUCGGUAGUCGGGUGUGAAACUCUAGCUCACCUAAAGACCCCCCUGAUACUGCUGUGGCUAGAGUCCGGUGGGGAGCAUGGGAUUUCCUGGUGUAGCGGUGAAAGCGCAAAAUUCCGGAGGGAAACCCCCCGC